rnacentral:rRNA from 1 species
UACAGGGGGUGCAAACGUUGCUCGGAAUCAUUGGGCGUAAAGCGCACGUAGGCGGUCUGUUAUGUCGGAUGUGAAGGCCCUUGGCUCAACUGAGGAAGUGCAUCCGAAACUGGCAGGCUAGAGUACUAAAGAGGAUCGCGGAAUUCCCGGUGUAGAGGUGAAAUUCGUAGAUAUCGGGAGGAACACCGGUGGCGAAGGCGGCGAUCUGGGUAGAUACUGACGCUGAGGUGCGAAAGCGUGGGGAGCAAACAGG